UGAAUGAUUGAUAAAUUGCUGGAUAGAGUAGGUUUUCCCCUCUCGGCACUCUAAAGUUUCUUCAGAAAAAAACCACAUGAUAGUUUUACAUGGUUUUCGUAUACAUAAGUUUUUCUCUUGCUGCCUUUAAAAUUCUCACUUUAACUUUGGCCAUUUUAAUUCUAUGUCUUGGUGUGGGUGUCUUUGCAUUCAUCUUAUUUGAGACUGUACUUUUGUACCUGGAAAUCUGUUUCCUCUUUCAGGUUUGUGAGGUUUUCAGUUUAUAAUAUCAUCCAGUAAAAUUCAAACCCUUCUCUUUUCCUUCUGGGACCCCUAUAAUGCAAAUAAUACAGUUGAAGCUGUUCACAGGUCCCUUAAACUAUUCUUAUUUUUUUAAAUUUGAUUUUCUUUUUGCCGUCUGACAGGGUUGAUUUCCAUUAUUGUCUUCCAGAUUCCUUAUUUGUUCUUCUUUAUCACCUAAUUUGCUGUUAAUUCCUACCGUGUUUUCUUCAUUUCUUCAGCUCUGUUUUUUUUUUUUUUUUAAUAAUUUCUAGUUCUUCAUUGAAAUUCUCAAUUAACAGUGAUGUGUUAAUCUAUUCUUUCCCCAAAUUCAGUUAGCAUACUUAUUGCUUUGAACUACCUAUCAGGUAGAUUAUUUCUCUCUUUCAUUAGGGUUUUUUCCCACAGCCUUUUUCUUAUUCUUUCAUUUGAAAAGUAUUCUUCCAUUUUUUCAUUUUGUUAAGUUUUCAUGUCUCUCUGAAAGUAAGGAUGUCAUUACCUAUCCUCAUCUUGACGGUGUGACCUUGUGUGAGAUCAUCCCUGUGUAGCCUGUAUGUGCCCAGCAGAUGUGCUGGGAGCCUGAUCUAAAGUGAACAUGGGCUGCAUCUUCCCCAUGGGUAUGCUGGCAGCCAUGACCCUAAUGGGAGGUAGGGCUGGAGUUGGAGGGCUAGAGCCAAAGUCAGGUGCAAGCCAGGGUUUCUCUGUCCAUCGUUGUUAAUAGCUGUGUCAGAUAAGGGCUCAGGAGGCCGGAGCAGGAACCCUGAGGGAGUUGGGUUUCUCCUGGUAUCAUGGUAGUUUCCUUGGCUAGGGUUGUGACCAGGGCCUGAGGGCUUGGGGCUGUACGUCUGUUCUGGUUUCACUUUUUCACCCAGUGUGUGUGCCUUGGUUAGAGGCUGGUUUGGGUGCAGAGGAGUUUUGUGCCCACCUCUUAGCUGGCCUGACCCCCUACCCCCUCUUGCCAUGGAUGGCCAUACCCUCGAGCUAGCCUUGCUCCUUCCAAGUGUCUGCAGGGAUACAUGUUUUGAUGGUGGUCGUCUCCACACUCUGGAGCUAGUUUUGCUUCUGAGUGUGUGCACCAAGGCGCCUGGCUGGCAGUGGCUGUCUCCGGCCUGUAAGAGGCAGGGCUGACAUUGAUGAGCUCUGGUUCCUCCAGUGUGCACACUUGUUGGCAACAGCAGGCUUUGCUUUGUGGGCAGUGCUAAGGCAAGAGGGGCUGGAAGAGUGGCCUGGUAUAGGCUAGGGGACAUGCUGGAGGGAUCCUAGCAAGCCAGCCAGGACCCCGUAGGCAGUUUUCAAUCUGCUGCCUUUGUGCUGUGAUGGGAGUAAGCAGUGCUCUUGUGCACAUGCUCUUCAAGAGCAGAGUCUUGGUCUCUUAUACCCCCAUAAGCACCAGUGGUUUUCAGAGCAGCACAGGGGGCUUUUCCCCACAGCUAGAUGCCCAGGAUUGAGGGUCUACCUAAUAGAGGGCCACACUUCUCCCUAGGGAGUUCCCAUUGCUGGUGAUAUCUACCUCCCCUUCUGGGUCCCCCAGCAUCUGUCCAGGUCCUGACCAGAUUGCUUCUCCCUGCCACUCCCCCUCAGACGACAUGUGGGUCUUUCUUUACAACCGUAGUUAUAGAAGGGCUGUUCUCCCAGUGUCCGGGUCAUUUCCAGCAAGAGUUGCUUCCCAUGUAGUUUUUGAUUUGUUUGUGAAAGGAGGGUGGGCUUGCAGCCCUGUCUCACUGUGGCUUUGUUUGCAUUUCCCUGAUGAUUAGUGAUGUUGUCCACACUUUCAUGUACCUGCGGUAAUUUGAAUUCUUUUUGAAGAAAUGGCUAUUCAGGUCUCAGGCCCAUUUUAAUUGGAUUAUUUCACCUGUACUUUUUUUUUUUUUUUUUUGCCAUUGAGUUAUUAGUUCUUUAUGUAUAUUGGAUAUUAACUGCUUAUCAGAUAUAUGGUUUGCAAAUUUUUCUCCCAUUUCAUAUGUUGCAUUUUCAUUUUAUUGUUUCUUUCACUGUGCAGAAGCUUUUUAGUUUGUUGUAGUUCCACUUACUUUUUGCUUUUAUUGUUUGUACUGUAGUUGUCAUAUCCAUUAGGUUAUUAUUGCCAAGACCAAUGUCAAGGAGAUUUCCCCCCUUUGUUUUCUUCUAGGAAUUUUAUGGUUUAAGGUCUUAGAUUUAAGUUUUAGUCCAUUUCAAGUUCACUUUUGAGUGGUGGAAAUAGUUCAUUUUCAUUCUUUAGCCUGUGAAUAUGCAGUAUUUUCAGCGCUAUUGGAGAAAUUUAUCUUUUCUGUAUUUAAUUGACAAUAUAUGUAAUGACUUAUUUCUGGGCUCUUGAUUAUGUUCCAUUGGUCUCUGAGUCUUUGUGCCAGUAUGAUCUUUGGAAUACUAUAGCUUUGUGGUAUAUUUUGAAAUCAGGAAGUAAUGAUACUUCCAGCUUUAUUCUUCUUCCACAGGAUGCUUUGGCUAUUGAGAAUCUUUUGUGGUUCCAGAAGAAUUUUAGGAUUUUCAUUUUCUGCAGAAAAUGCCAUUGAAAUCUUGAUAGAGAUUGCAUUGAAUCUAUAGAUUACUUUGGGUCGUCAGGACAUUUUAACAAUAUUCUUUUAAUCCAUAAACAUAAAUAUCUUUUAUUUAUGUAUGUUAUUUUCAGUUUCUUUCAUAAAGAUAUUGUAGUUUUCAGUGUAUGGAUCUUUUACUUCCUUGUUAAAUUUAUUGCAAAAUAUUUCAUGUUUUUCAUGCUAUUGUAAAUGAGUUUCUUUAAUUUUUGGGAAUUUGUUGUUAAUGACUAGAAAUGCAACUGAUUUUUAUAUGUUGAUUUUAUAUAUAUAUGUCUUGUAACUUUACUGAAUUCACUUAUUUUUGGAUUAUUUAGACUUUCUAAAUAUAAGAUCACGUCAUCUC
rnacentral:lncRNA from 1 species